GUGGUGGGAGGAUGGAUGGGGACUUAUUGCAUAAACAUAUUCGUGGUGGUUUGGGUGUUCGUAGUUGGAUUCGGGUUCGGAGGAUGGGCAAGUAUGGUCAAUUUUGUUCGCCAAAUCAACACUUUUGGUCUAUUCACCAAAUGCUACCAGUGCCCACCUCACAAGCCUUGAUAUUUACAUAUUGGACACUCAAGACCUUCUAGAAAGAGGGUUUCAUCUGAAGGUUUUUUGUUUGAAGAUCGACUAUAUUAUUAUAUCUAUGCUUUUACAAUUACAAUUUACUGAAAAUAACAUCCAUUGUAGUUGUUUGACGACACUAAUCUUUUACUUUGGGUUUGUUUAUUUGUUAUGUUGAGUUGCAUUUGGUAAAUUGUUUUUUUUUUAACUUCCUUGGUUAAGGUGUGAUGGCUAUCUUAGGCCAACCCAAUUUUAAUUAGUGUUCUUUCAUAGAUUGUGUAUUUUUCCGUGUGUUUGUGUGUGAUCUCUUUAUUUUUGUACUAUUAAAAAGAAAAAUUCCAUAACAUAUCCUCUAACAACCUAGUAUUGUUUUGCGUAAUUAAAGAGAACAAGUUCUUUUGUUUUGUUCUUUGAUGAACACUAAGAUUUUGAUGAAAAUUAACAACAAUAACAACGUGAUGACACGAUGUUAUGGAAAUGCAUGAUUUAAUUGAUAAGCUAUAAUUUAUAAUAUAUCCACUAAUAAUUAUUUGCAAACUGAUUUUGACACAUGUCAUCAUCACUACAAUCAAUUUCACUAAAUAAAUGUGAUAUAACAUACUAAAAAUGAUGACAUAUUUUAUAGUUAAAUGUGACAUGAACAAUUAUAUUUAAUAAUUAUUUUUAUUUUUAAAAAACUUUUUAAAAUGUGGUAGUAAAUUAUGCAUCAUCGUUAAAAUAAAUCUAUUCAAGACAUUAAAUUAUAAUAAUAGAAAUAUAAUAAUAUUCUACAAUUUCAAAGUAUUAUUUAUUUCUAUUUUCUAAAAUUAAAUAAAAAGUAUUUUCAAUUUUUUUACAAUUAUAAAAAAUUAUAAAUUUUUAAUUGUAAUAUUAUUAGUUUUUAUAUUUUAAAAAAAAUAGAAAUACUGUUUAGUUUUACUUUUUGAUAAUUAUACAAAUUUUAUAUUAAUUUUAUACAAGUUGAUUUAAUAUAUUUUUAUCUAAAAGAAAUAGAUAAAAAUAUUAUCUAAGAUUAUAAUUUUAAAUAUAUGCAUAUCUAUUUUAAACAAAAAAAAUUUUUUUAUCUUAAUUUAUAUUUAAUAAAAUCAAAAUUUAUAUUAAAAUAUUGGUAAAAAAAUAGUAAAAUCUAAAAUAGUAAUAAUUUUUUUUAUAUAUAAUUUAAAUUUAAUUUUUUUAUUAGUGCAUGAGGUGCAUGAAAGCACCUACUAGUUUGUAUAAUAUAAAAGGUCGGUUCAAUAUUUUAAAAUUAGUAUUGAUUUAAUUUUGUAUAAUGUUUGUUUUAAAAAUAUUUCAAAUAACUUUAGUUUGUGCUAAAAUCAAUAAAUAUUCACAUAAAUCUUUUUAAUUUUAUAUUAUGUUUAAAAUUAUAUAUAUUUUAAAAUCUUAGAUUCUUAACAAUAAAAAAAAGGGGACAUUCAGUCAAAAAAAAAGGAGGGACAUCUGAUUAGACCUGGGGGGUGGCACAUUUGUCCCCCCAUUUAAGCCAAUUAAUAGUAAUUUUAUCUUGGUGAAUUAGAGAGUUUCUUCAAAACAAUGCAAUAGUUUAUCUUAAAGAAAAUAAGCAAAUCACAUCAUAAUGAAAACGAAAUGAAUGGCGAAUUUUCGGAAAAAAUGAACAAUUUCUGACUUAUAAAAAAAUAAAAUAAAAAGGAGGCAAAAAGGCUAUGGCAGCUUGUGUCAGUCUCAGUGUGAAAGGAGUUAGUACUUAGGACAGGCAGCCUUUUUACAAUUAUUAGUUGGCCUUUACAAUCCGGUCAGAUUCUCAUAUCACCAACCGAUUAAAUUGUUGUUUAGACUCAACUAGCAUCAAAAACUGAAAUAAAUCAACCGAAUAAUACAUUAUUGCUCUUGUUAGGGUUCAUGAUAUCAAGUAUCAACUCGUUCAUUUCGGUGUAGUUGAGGUAUAAGUUCCACAACAAUAACAACAACUAAAAGAACGAUAAAGAAAAAUAAACCUAACGAUCUAUCAUUUCAUGGUGGGAGGAUGGAUGGGGACUUAUUGCAUAAACAUAUUCGUGGUGGUUUGGGUGUUCGUAGUUGGAUUCGGGUUCGGAGGAUGGGCAAGUAUGGUCAAUUUUGUUCGCCAAAUCAACACUUUUGGUCUAUUCACCAAAUGCUACCAGUGCCCACCUCACAAGCCUUGAUAUUUACAUAUUGGACACUCAAGACCUUCUAGAAAGAGGGUUUCAUCUGAAGGUUUUUUGUUUGAAGAUCGACUAUAUUAUUAUAUCUAUGCUAUUACAAUUACAAUUUACUGAAAAUAACAUCCAUUGUAGUUGUUUGACGACA
rnacentral:lncRNA from 1 species